rnacentral:sRNA from 1 species
CAGCAACUACUGUUUUUCCUGAACCUACAUCACCUUGAAGUAAUCGAUGCAUACGUAUUGGUGCUUUUAAAUCUCUAAAAAUUUCAUUAACACUGGAUUUCUGUGCUUCAGUUAGUUCAAAAGGUAAACAAUCAAUAAAUGAU